rnacentral:rRNA from 1 species
GGUAACCUGCCUGUAAGACUGGGAUAACUCCGGGAAACCGGGGCUAAUACCGGAUGGUUGUUUGAACCGCAUGGUUCAAACAUAAAAGGUGGCUUCGGCUACCACUUACAGAUGGACCCGCGGCGCAUUAGCUAGUUGGUGAGGUAACGGCUCACCAAGGCAACGAUGCGUAGCCGACCUGAGAGGGUGAUCGGCCACACUGGGACUGAGACACGGCCCAGACUCCUACGGGAGGCAGCAGUAGGGAAUCUUCCGCAAUGGACGAAAGUCUGACGGAGCAACGCCGCGUGAGUGAUGAAGGUUUUCGGAUCGUAAAGCUCUGUUGUUAGGGAAGAACAAGUACCGUUCGAAUAGGGCGGUACCUUGACGGUACCUAACCAGAAAGCCACGGCUAACUACGUGCCAGCAGCCGCGGUAAUACGUAGGUGGCAAGCGUUGUCCGGAAUUAUUGGGCGUAAAGGGCUCGCAGGCGGUUUCUUAAGUCUGAUGUGAAAGCCCCCGGCUCAACCGGGGAGGGUCAUUGGAAACUGGGGAACUUG